GAAGUCAAGUGAGUUUUCAGUGGUUGCAGAACUAAGAUGUGGCAGCGCUGAGUGAGAUUAGAACCUAAAGCUUCUGAGAACAAAUCCAGCAUAAAGCAACAUUACGCUAGAUGCUUCUGAUGUAAGCGAACCUUGGUCUCAAAAAGCUAUGAUCAGGCGUUUCUUCCUAUCAUGGGAAGAAUAGAAAACACCACCUUAAUCAUGGAAAGGAUCUUACAAAACAAGCAAGAUACAAGGAAAAGAUGGGAAUAUGGAACAUCCGGCUUGGUAUGUUUGAAAGGGAGACUGAAGGAGCCUCAAUCUCCAGAGAGAAGAAGAGGGAAAUUGGCCAGCCCAAAAGCCAGAGAAGAUAUAUCCAAUUGCAGCUAUAAUCUUCAUAUGCUUUUGGGAUCAUUUCUUUAUGCCACAUUCUUUGAAGUUAAUAAUGGGCCAGAGAGGAUGGACAUGUUUAAAGCGUCUUACAUAAGACUUGCCAAAUUGCCCUCCAGAAGACUUCACCAGUUGAUAUUCCCACCAGAAGAUCCAUCCAUGUUGUUGCAAACGGCAAGAUUUCAUUCUUUUUUAUGGCUGAGCAGUAUUCCAUAUAUACUACAUGAAAAGAUGCUCAAUAUCACUCAUCAUCAGAGAAAUGCAAAUCAAAACCACAAUGAGAUAUCACCUUACAUCUGUCAGAAUGGCUAGAAUCAAGAAGACUGGAAAACCCAGUGUUGCUGAGGAUGUGGUGAAAAAGGAACCCUGGGCACUGUUGGUGAGAAUGUAAAUUGGUGCAGCCACAGUGGAGAACAGUACCGAGGCUCCUCAAAAAAUUAAAAAUACAAUUACCAUAUGAUCCAGCAAUUCCAUUACUGGGUAUUUAUUUACCUAAAGAAAAUAAAAACAGUAAUUUAAAAAGAUAUAUGCACCCUAUGUUUAUUGCAGCAUUAUUUGCAAUAGCCAAGAUAUGGAAGCAGCCCGUGUCCAUCCAUAGAUGAAUGGAAAAACAAGAUGUGUUUUCAUAUCUUCAGGACCUGUUCAUAGUGCUUAGCACAUGGUAAACACCCAACCAAUUCUUGCUGAAUGAACAAAUAGGUGAAUAAGUGAAUCAAUUAUAGCAGUACUUGGUGAAAUUAAGUAGACACUUUUAAUACCAAGUUGUAGGAUGCAACCCCAUAUGAAGA